rnacentral:rRNA from 1 species
CAUGCCACCCUGGGCAUACCUCAUCUCUUCUGAUAUUGGAAGUUAAGCAGGGCCGGACUUCAUUAGUACCUGGAUGGGAGGCCACGUUCAAAUCUUGUC